GUUUACGGCCAUACCAGCCUGGGUACGCCUGAUCUCGUCUGAUCUCGGAAGCUAAGCAGAGUCGGGCCUGGUUAGUACUUGGAUGGGAGACCGCCUGGGAAUACCAGGUGCUGUAAGCU
rnacentral:rRNA from 1 species